UGAGGAAUAUUGGUCAAUGGGUGCAAGCCUGAACCAGCCAUCCCGCGUGAAGGACGACUGCCCUAUGGGUUGUAAACUUCUUUUGUAUAGGGAUAAACCUACCCUCGUGAGGGUAGCUGAAGGUACUAUACGAAUAAGCACCGGCUAACUCCGUGCCAGCAGCCGCGGUAAUACGGAGGGUGCAAGCGUUAUCCGGAUUUAUUGGGUUUAAAGGGUCCGUAGGCGGACUUAUAAGUCAGUGGUGAAAGCCUGUCGCUUAACGAUAGAACUGCGAUUGAUACUGUAAGUCUUGAGUAUAUUUGAGGUAGCUGGAAUAAGUAGUGUAGCGGUGAAAUGCAUAGAUAUUACUUAGAACACCAAUUGCGAAGGCAGGUUACCAAGAUAUAACUGACGCUGAGGGACGAAAGCGUGGGGAGC
rnacentral:rRNA from 1 species